rnacentral:rRNA from 1 species
CCAGACAUAAACCUAGAUAGCACACACACACUCUAUCCGCCAGAGAACUACCAGCGAAAAGCUAAAAACUCAAAGGACUUGACAGUGUCCCACAUCAACCUAGAGGAGCCUGUCCUAUAAUCGACAAUCCACGUUAUACCCAACCUGUCCUUGCCUAAUCAGCCUAUAUACCGCCGCCUUCUGCCUACCUAAUGAUAGCCCCAAUAGGCAAAACAGCAACCCGCUAAAACGUCAGGUCAAGGUGUAGCUAAUGGACAGGAAGAGAUGGGCUACAUUUUCUACCACCAGAAAACACCACCGCGUUCAUGAAACUCCCGUUAAAGGUGGAUUUAGCAGUAAGCUCAGCAAGACAAGCCAAGCUGAAAUACGCUCUGGGACG